UACGUAGGGUGCGAGCGUUGUCCGGAAUUACUGGGCGUAAAGAGCUCGUAGGUGGUUUGUCGCGUUGUUCGUGAAAACCGGGGGCUUAACCCUCGGCGUGCGGGCGAUACGGGGCAGACUGGAGUACUGCAGGGGAGACUGGAAUUCCUGGUGUAGCGGUGGAAUGCGCAGAUAUCAGGAGGAACACCCGUGGCGAAGGCGGCUCUCUGGAACGCAACUGACGCUGAGACGCGAAAAGCGUGGGGGAGCAAACAGG
rnacentral:rRNA from 1 species